rnacentral:rRNA from 1 species
GAUGAACGCUGACAGAAUGCUUAACACAUGCAAGUCUUUGGCGAAUCUGUGCUUGCACAGGCUAGCCAAGGCGGACGGGUGAGUAACGCGUAAAGAACUUGCCCUGCAGACAGGGAUAACAGACGGAAACGACUGAUAACACCUGAUACAGUUGCCGGCACGCAUGUGCCUGGCAAUGAAAAGAGAUGCUGCAGGAGAGCUUUGCGUCCUAUUAGCUUGUUGGUGAGGUGACGGCUCACCAAGGCGAUGAUAGGUAGCCGGCCUGAGAGGGUGAACGGCCACAAGGGGACUGAGAUACGGCCCUUACUCCUACGGGAGGCAGCAGUGGGGAAUAUUGGACAAUGGGGGCAACCCUGAUCCAACAAUUCUGUGUGCACGAAGAAGGUUUUCGGAUUGUAAAGUGCUUUCAGCAGGGAAGAAGAAAGUGACGGUACCUGCAGAAGAAGCGACGGCUAAAUACGUG